rnacentral:rRNA from 1 species
GACGAACGCUGGCGGCAGGCCUAACACAUGCAAGUCGAACGAGUGGCGGACGGGUGAGUAAUGUCUGGGAAACUGCCCGAUGGAGGGGGAUAACUACUGGAAACGGUAGCUAAUACCGCAUACCAUCGGAUGUGCCCAGAGGGGAUUAGCUAGUAGGUGGGGUAACGGCUCACCUAGGCGACGAUCCCUAGCGGGUCUGAGAGGUUGACCAGCCAACAUGGAACUACGACACGGUCCAGACUCCUACGGGAGGCAGCAGUGGUGAAUAUUGCACAGUGGGCGCAAGCCUGAUGCAGCCAUGCCGCGUGUAGGAAGAAGGCCUUCGGGUUGUAAAGUACUUUCAGCGAGGAGGCGUUACUCGCAGAAGAAGCACCGGCUAACUCCGUGCCAGCAGCCGCGGUAAUAC